rnacentral:rRNA from 2 species
UACGUAGGGUGCGAGCGUUGUCCGGAAUUACUGGGCGUAAAGAGCUCGUAGGUGGUUUGUCGCGUUGUCCGUGAAAACUCACAACUCAAUUGUGGGCGUGCGGGCGAUACGGGCAGACUGGAGUACUGCAGGGGAGACUGGAAUUCCUGGUGUAGCGGUGGAAUGCGCAGAUAUCAGGAGGAACACCGGUGGCGAAGGCGGGUCUCUGGGCAGUAACUGACGCUGAGGAGCGAAAGCGUGGGGAGCGAACAGG